UGUGUGCCCCUGUCCAGUCCUUUUGUUUCCCAGGUCUGGGUGUUCCAGCUCUGUGUAAAGUGUCUGCUGCCAUGGAUGGAGUAAUUAUUUUAGCCAGUACCAGGUUCCUACCAUUGUGUGAGAGAGCAUUGGACCAUUGCAUCAUUGGCUGUGACUGCUGAGAGACUAAGCCCCUCCUCUAAAGGAUGCUCCGGCUCUUCCAAGUUUGUCCUGAUUAUUUGCACCUGCCUCCGGAUCCAGCCCCUCCCUACAAAAGCCAGAUGCUCCUACCAUUUCAGGCUCAGCUUUGGAAACCCACCUACCUGCGAGUCCAGGAGUAGCUUGACGGCAUAGGCUUCGCAAUGGUGUCCUGACGGUCUGGGUCUGGGUCUUGGAGCGCCUGGCCCCGUUACCACUUUUUAUUUACCAGACCCUUCACCGGAUCCCGCUCCGGCUUUUAACCUUCAUCAUGUCUGUCAAGGAUGGAUUACCCGGCUCUGGACUUCAGCUCCCUGGAUUACCCUACUGACUCCCCUUGGAUUUGUUUGCCUUGGCCACGCCCCCCCAGCACCAGCGCACCAUCGACACGCCUCCCUGUUUGUCUACCAGCGCCGUUCCUAGUCUUCUCUCCCCAUGUUUUUUUAACUCCUUUCUGGAUUCUGUUGUCUUCAUAGGAUCCUGAAAAACGCUUCUUGACAAUUUUGCAAAUGUAAUGUAUUCCAACUAAUAGACACCUCACAAACCAGACAUAUUUUUAACAAGCAGUCACCAAGAAUAAAGGCGGUACCAUAA